CCUACGGGCGGCAGCAGUGAGGAAUAUUGGUCAAUGGACGAGAGUCUGAACCAGCGAAGUAGCGUGAAGGAUGACUGCCCUAUGGGUUGUAAACUUCUUUUAUAUGGGAAUAAAAUGUUCCACGUGUGGGAUUUUGUAUGUACCAUAUGAAUAAGGAUCGGCUAACUCCGUGCCAGCAGCCGCGGUAAUACGGAGGAUACGAGCGUUAUCCGGAUUUAUUGGGUUUAAAGGGAGCGUAGGUGGAUUGUUAAGUCAGUUGUGAAAGUUUGCGGCUCAACCGUCGAAUUGCAGUUGAAACUGGCAGUCUUGAGUACAGUAGAGGUGGGCGGAAUUCGUGGUGUAGCGGUGAAAUGCUUAGAUAGCACGAAGAACUCCGAUGGCGAAGGCAGUUCACUGGACUGCAACUGACACUGAGGCUCGAAAGUGUGGGUAUCAAACAGGAUUAGAUACCCGGGUAGUC
rnacentral:rRNA from 1 species